rnacentral:lncRNA from 1 species
UCUCAUUCCCUCUCUCAUUGUCUGCACUUCGGCUCUAAAGAGAAAAAAAGCCUUCCUUUUUCCCAUUCCAUAUUGUUUCUGAAAUAUUUAACCAAUUUUCUUUCUGCUUUCUGGGAUUUUUUUUUUUCCUAAAUCUGUCACUUUCCCUGGAAAAUUUACAGCACCUGAGAAUAAAUAUCAUUCUGCUACUUACCUCAAUUGUUGUCUCAUUAUCCCAAUCUGGUUGGCUCAACCGGUUUGUUUUCUUUCAACUUGUUUCUUAUUUGCAACAAUUUAAGUUUGCUUUUUCUGUUUUUUCUCUGUAACAUUAGAUUUUUUUUUCAAAUUUAUUGAGUUCUUGAGAUCUGGAUUUAUUAAUUCAGUGUUGUAGAAGAGAAACCAUGUGUGCUUGUUUUAUUUUGCUAAAUGUAUUAGAUUUUAGUCUCUAGCUGUAAUAGAAACUGGGGGUUUCAGUACUAAGAUUUGAUUUCGAGCAAUAAGGUUUGAAACUUUUUUGUUUAGUGGGUAGUUUAAAGUUUCAAUUUU